rnacentral:rRNA from 1 species
UACGUAGGGGGCGAGCGUUGUCCGGAAUCAUUGGGCGUAAAGCGCGUGUAGGCGGCCCGGUAAGUCCGCUGUGAAAGUCCAGGGCUCAACCCUGGGAUGCCGGUGGAUACUGUCGGGCUCGAGUCCGGAAGAGGCGAGUGGAAUUCCUGGUGUAGCGGUGGAAUGCGCAGAUAUCAGGAGGAACACCGAUAGCGAAGGCAGCUCGCUGGGACGGUACUGACGCUGAGGUGCGAAAGCGUGGGGAGCGAACAGG